AAUUAGGUGACUGGACCGGAAAUCGAACCUAAGUCUCUCGUUUACUCAACGAUCGCUUUUACCACACUAAUCUAUAUGCUACCUGCAUUUUAACACCAUUUCCGUUUUACUUGAACAAUAUAAAAUUCUGGGUUUGGAUGGAUGGUGCAAUGGCCGUGCAUUAUGCAGCGCUCGGAAGCCAUGUUAAAUUGUAUUUCAAAAAGUUUUUUACAGAUUGAAAAUAUACAUAAAAAACACACACCAUAUA